AAGUAUGACAUACUGCCGGAACUGUGGCUAAUGGUGUGGACCACCCUGCUCACUGGUAGCAGAGUGGGUAGCUACGCUCUCUUCUGGAAGCCCCUCUGCAGCACUACUCUUGGGAGUGGAAAAGGAAGUGGUCAAAGACCUACAUUUGGGAGCUGAUCUGUCUUGCCCUCAGUUAGGGCCCAGCCCUUCCCUGGGGACCAGGAAAAUCUUUGCUCACCUGGAGAAGCUGCUGGUUCAGCCCAACUUUAUCUAAGGCCAAAGCCUCAUUUAAGGCACUGAGCUUGACAGCUGCAGCCCGAAGAUGAGCUACUUCUGUCUUCAGCGUGUUUUCAGAACUCGACAGCUCUGCAAUUGACUGCUCUGCCUAAAAAACAGAGGGUUAAAGAGUUUCGUAUUUCCAAUUUUCCUGGAACAGUGAACAGUUCACAUUCCCAAUACUGCUGCUUUUUGGUACAGAGAUCAGUUAAUACUCCAUUCCCUCUCCUGCACUCUAAACAAGUUUUCCCUUGAUUCAUUCAAUAAGCAGUAAGACGGGAGCUCACAGUAUAGAGACACCAAUGUUAGGACAGAGAAAUGACUACGAUUAUAAUGACGCCACAGAAAAUGUAAGCACAAAGUGCUCUGGGAACUCAAAAAAAAAUAUUAAUAUAGUUUGGAAGAGUCAAAUAUGCUUGGUAGAGGAGUUGACGAUUAAGUUGGGAAUUGAGAGAUGAGGAAGAGUUUGAGCAUAAAGGAGGAGGAAAGAAGUAGUGCAGAGAAAGGGAAAAGUAUACACAGAGUAUUAGAGUCAUGAAAGAACAUGGAAUAACUGAGAAGGCAAUUACUGCUCUGUGGCAGGAGCAAAGGAUAUGAGAUGUUUAGGAUGGGUUUUGUAGUAGAAGGGGAGGCUAAAACACAGUUUGGGGCACAUGACAAAAAGUUUUGAAUGUGGCACCACAGAGCUAGAAAGCCAUUGAAUGGUUUUAAGAGACUGACAUAACCAGCUUUAUACUUUAGAAAACCCAUUCUAAUUCCAAUAUAGAGGGUAUGUUGGAAGAUAGAGAACCCAGAAGCAGACUAAUGACUGAGGAAAGAUGAGGGAUCCUGGCUUGAAGGUGAAUAAUGAGGCAGGCUGCAUGGGAACACACUUUCGAAGCCGCCCACCCAGCAAGUGAGGAGAGGAGGCCACGCACCCUAGCCAGCGCUGCCGUCACUUCCGUUUGCUCUUGCCUCAGUAACUCCCCUUCCAGGCGACUUGACUCCAGGGCUUCCCGAAGAGUGAUCAGUUGACUGAGUGAUUCUGACUGUUUGGCUUCCAGGCCCACCAGCGUCUCCUGACUAAGAUGGGAAGGAGAGGGGUCUAGAGGAACUCUUAGGGACGGGCCGUAACCCCAGAGGUAACAGGAAUUUAAUCACCUUCGCUAUGCAACAGAAUGAGGAUGGUCUAUAAACACUGAUAAGGAAAGACUUCUAAGACAUGUCAAGUGAAAAAAAAAUCAAG